rnacentral:lncRNA from 1 species
CAAUGACCCCAGUCACUCCCACCCCAAAGCCAGGGAAACAUCAUCUUGUCACCUCUGGAUUUCUCCUCACCCCCUUGGGUUAAAGCUGAGCAGACAGGGUGGCACUUCUGAAUUCAGAGGCUGCAAUGAGCUGAGAAAAACAAGCAUCUGUGGCCCCCUCCAGGACCCACCAAGUAGAGGGGAUGUUGCCCCGGGUGCUGCAGGAGAUGAGAAACAACACUGAGACUCAGCCGGGUUACGUAAAACAUCCAAAGCUAUGCAGCAGGCUGAUGGCCAGCUGAGACCUAAAUUUAGGCCUCACUGACUCCUACCUUGGGCAUGUAAGCACCAGUUGGAUCAGAUACACCAGGU